UUGUUUUUUUUUACCAAAAUCUCAAGAAAAAAAAACCAAACCACCAUUUUCACCAAAAUUUUUGAAAAAUUUCGUUUUUUGGCCAAAAUACCAAAGACCGCUCUUCUCUUUGACAAAAUAUCAACAAUUCCCUCGUUUUUUCGUCGCCAAAGUUGCAAGUCCUGUUUUUUUUUCCAAAAAAUUGAAAAAAUCUUGGAACCAAAAUUUACAAAAAAGGCCCAAUUUUUGUCAAAUUGUUGAAAAAAUUGGACCUUUUUUGUCAGAAUUUAUAAAAAGACAUGAUUUUUCGCCACAGACGGAACAAAUUCUACAAAUUCCUCGUUAAAAAUUAUCUAGAUAGGUAUCUAUCUAUUUAAACCUACAUUUGAAAGCAUGAAAUAAAUAUUACAGUGAAAUACCCGUAAAAAUACAGAAUUUUCUUCAAAAACUAUUAAAAACAUUGGAAAUUGAAACACCUUGAAUUUUAAAGCCAAAUUGUUGAAAAAUUUUGAAAACUAUUUCAAAAAAUGACUUUUUCGACAUCUUUUUAUCAAAAAAAAAAAAAAAAAAAUAACAGUAGGUAACAUGAAAUUUUACGUUAUGUAUACCGAGAAAUUAAACGCUUUCCAUAUUCGUAGAAACCUAAAUACGGUAAACUCAUAUACAAAACUCCACUACAGAUAUUCCCACUCAUCAAGAUGAAGAACAAAUUGCAAACAUCUCGUAAAAAAUUAGCCACGAAAACCUCGCCAAAUCCAUUUCGAGAACUGAAGUAAAUUUUUAAAACCGAUGAAAAGAGUAUUGAAAAACCAUCGUAGAAAAAUUUCCCCAUCUUUAAAAAUUAAUUAAGAAGAGGAUGUUCGUUAAAAAAGUAUAUUUAGGGUACAUACUUGAAGUAUAGGUUUAGGUACCUCGAAUGUUUAUUUUUUACGAAGCGAAUCCGUCAAAGAUAAGAGCACCAUUAGAUACGUUUUGAAGUUGACGGCUUAAAUACUAAUCCUGAUUUUUAUCAAAGAAUGAGAGAAAUUGUAGUCUUGUAGUUUCAUAAUAAGCCUAUUCUAUUAAGAAAGAUCAAAAAUACGUCUCACGUACAUUUUUCCUUUUACUUAUCUUUAAAGAUGAGUUAUUAUUUUUAAUGCUGCGGCGAAAAUAUUUCUAAGAGGUGAGAAAUUUCACUAGAUAGGUAUCUUCUUUUUCGAAAUAAUUCUCUCUCUUUUGAAAAAUUCGUCCACAAAUCGAAUAAGAUGUGAAGUGCAAAACGAAAAAAAAUCUUGGCUGAGUGUACUGAAAAGUAAAAGGUAGGUAUGUAACGAAUGGAAAUUUUGAAACAGUUCUUUUUGACCUCUCACUUAAUUAUCUACUUAGCAUAUACGACUUCUUUCAAAUGAUGCCUUUGAAGAGACAGAAAGAGUCUUAUAUUAUUGCAUCAUUCUGAAACGAAAAAAACACCUUACUUAUUUUUUAUCAUCUAGAAAAUUCGUUACUUUGAUGAAAAUUUCAAAGAAUCUAUUAUUAGCAUUCUUAUAAAUGAGUUCAUUAUUCACACCUGAAAUACAACAUUUUCGCGAUAAUCAACAGAUUUUCUUUGUAAAAUGAAUGCAAUUCAUUCAAAAAUUUCAUCAUUCUAUUAAAAUUUUGUCAAAAUGUUACUAAAAGUCACCAAAAUCAACGAACUCGAAUAAUAAUGAGACAAACAUCACAUCGGUGUCGAAAAUUCUGCGAUUUUUCAAGCACCUAUUUUCAAACAAAAAAUCAAAUUUGGUUAACUUCUUCAGAGUCGAGUGAAAUAUACUCGUAGUUAAUCCAAUACCAAAACAAUCGAGCUUUAUUAUUAAAGGAAAAUCAAAUUCAGGUAUCAAAGAGGUUAUCUAUCUGCCAAAUGUUGAUAUAACGAACGCCUCAUGUUGGACGAUUAGUGCAAAGUGUAACCAGACACUUUUUAUUAAACCGAUAAAAUCACGCCAUCGUCUUAUCUUCGAAUUUCAUUUACAAUUUUUACUAUAAAUACUCGAAAAAAUCUACUCAACGGUACAGUCUAAUUUUCGUAUUCUUCAAGUGUCUUACUUGUGCUUUAUUUGCAACUUUUUUCGUUUGCGUUUCGCAUUUCAAAACCAAUAAUUAAAAUGGGCAAAGAACGUGUAACCAUGAACUUCGAAUUGGUCGGACAAGGCAAAGAAAAAUCCAGCAUGGAAUUCUCGGUUAUCGGCCAAGGAAAAGAAAAGACCAGCAUGGACUUCACCGUCAUUGGCCAAGGCAAAGAAAAGUCCAGCAUGGACAUCGUCGCCAUCGACAACGGCAAAGAAAAAAUCAACUUCGAUAUCAUCAGCUUAUAAGCGAUUUUCCAGUAAUUUUACGCAUAUUUUGUAAGUUAAUUUUUAGUUUAAUGUUUUUUUUUUUUGAACGCACCGAUGGCAGUUAAAAUCUAAUUCAGCAACAACACAACCUGUUAAAAAAAUUUAAAUAUACUGUAGUUUAAACCUUCAAA